rnacentral:rRNA from 1 species
UUCGGGUUCCGGGGGGAGUAUGGUCGCAAGGCCGAAACUUAAAGGAAUUGACGGAAGGGCACCACCAGGAGUGGAAUCUGCGGCUUAAUUUGACAACGCGGGAAAACUCACCAGGUCAGGACACGGUAAGGAUUGACGGACUGAAGGCUCUUUCUCGAUUCCGUGGAAAGUGGUGCAUGGCCGUUUUUGGUUGGUGGAUCGAUCCGUCUGGUUAAUUCCGUUAACGAACGAGACCUCGGCACUCCGAAUAGCGCGGCGGACGUCGCGGCCUCCGGGCCGUCUUCCGCACGAGCUUCUUAGAGGGACCGUCCCCCGCCGGGGAAGGAGGUGCGAGGCAACGACAGGUCUGUGAUGCCCUUAGAUGUUCUGGGCCGCACGCGCAUUACACUGACGCGUCCAACGGGUGACUCCCGACCCGAAGGGGCCGGGGAAUCCGCAAGGCGCGUCGUGAUGGGGAUUGAACGUUGCAAUUGUUGUUCACGAACGAG